rnacentral:rRNA from 1 species
GGGGGGGGGGGGGGGGGGGGGGGGGGCGGGCGGGGCGGGCGAGCGGACGAGAAGCGGGCUUCGCUGAGGUUAGCGGCGGACGGGUGAGUAACACGUGGAUAACCUACCUAUAAGACUGGGAUAACUUCGGGAAACCGGAGCUAAUACCGGAUGAUAUUUUGAACCGCAUGGUUCAAAAGUGAAAGACGGUCUUGCUGUCACUUAUAGAUGGAUCCGCGCUGCAUUAGCUAGUUGGUAAGGUAACGGCUUACCAAGGCAACGAUGCAUAGCCGACCUGAGAGGGUGAUCGGCCACACUGGAACUGAGACACGGUCCAGACUCCUACGGGAGGCAGCAGUAGGGAAUCUUCCGCAAUGGGCGAAAGCCUGACGGAGCAACGCCGCGUGAGUGAUGAAGGUCUUCGGAUCGUAAAACUCUGUUAUUAGGGAAGAACAUAUGUGUAAGUAACUGUGCACAUCUUGACGGUACCUAAUCAGAAAGCCACGGCUAACUACGUG